CCGAGCUGCCCUAGCCCGGGAGGGCGCCGCUGCUCUGCGAACUCGGGCGCGCGCGUAGGUGGCCCGCCCUCCGCCGUGCGUGACUUUCCUCGUCGCGUCCAGCUCCCCUUUUCUUUGACCUUACGUGACCUUGGGAAAAACCUCCAGGCUGCUACCCCAUCUGCACAUGGGAGGGCCGGGGGUAGGAGCCGCGACCCCUAAGGGCUCCACCGCCUUCUGCCCGGCCAGGGUCGUGCCUGGCGCGCCCCCGCUCCAGCUGACCCGCGCAAGGGAGGGAGGGGCGGACGGAUGGGGACAGCUGUUUAGGAGCGCGCACUGCGCCCAUCUCGGCCUCAACACUCAUGUUUCCACUUCGUUUCACGACCACCAGCCACAGUGGACACGAUGAUCCCCAGUUCACCCGCCAGCAAAUCAGGGCUCAGAGAGGUGGCCUCAAAGAGAGGAGCGGCCAGGAGGGAAGCCGGGGGUUUGCCCUGCGGUUCUUCCCACAUCUGGGCGGGAUAGAUUCGAUUGGGCCUCGGCCACCCCCACCGUCUCCGUCGGGGGUUCCAAGGUUUGGGGUCAUGACCUAGGGGGCUUAGGAGCCUGGGUCCAUCUCAACUAAUUUAUGGCCUCACUCGCCCCCAGCGGCUGGGAAUUCUAGGCCCAUUUUACAGAUGUGGACGCAGAUCUGGAGAGGGGCAAUGACUGCUCAACCCCCCACCCAUCCUCCCAGACACGACCUUCCACCUGGAAUCCCCCCACACACGUUCUCAGAGGCCAGGCAGCCGGGGUCUCAUGGUGAAAUCCCCACAUUCCAUGCAGGGGCUCUUUCUGGUUCCUUCCCUAGAAUGCUGUCCCUGCCCUUCCAGUACUAUCUCACCAGGGAGACCCUCCCACUCCCCCACUCCGCUCCAACCAAGCAAGGCCUCUGCCUCGCCCCGGUGGGAGGGGCCUCGUCCAGAGGGCACGCCCCUGCACACACAAUCAGCCCUGUCCUGGCUUCUCUGUGUGCCCCAGCCAGUCAGUCUGGGUGGAAGUCUUACCUGGGCCCUCUCAACAGACCUAGGCAGGCCUCUGUCCCCAGCCCAACGAGCUCAAUCCCUUAAGCACACACGCCACAGAGCAGUCCUGAGAGGCCAGGUGGACAGUACCAUGAGGCAGACAAAGCUGUGAGGCCCAGAGAGGGUCAGGCCACCCCAGCCCAGGUAGGCACUCACAUGUAUCCUGCCCAGGCUGCCAUGCAUGGACCCACCAGGGGGAUGACCAGACCCCACCAGCCCUGCCCCACCUCAGGGCGGGGGACGUUCCAGGCCACGCCAUCUCUCCCAGGGAGUCCAUGGCAACUGCCAAGCUUACAGCAGCCAGGUUGUCAGCAGGAGUAGGGGUAUAGAGGGCACUGGGCCUGGCAUCCGCACCCGCCUUUGCCUCAGCUCCACAUGUCUCCUCCUGUAUCUAGGCCUAUCUCCCUAGGGCUUCUCCCAUCUGCCGGUUCUGGAUGCCUCUGAGUACGAUGGUGGGGAGAGCAAAACACACAUACAAAGAGCAUCAUGAUGCCUGGGAGCCCGGGACCCAGUUGAAGGAGCAACACACGGCAGAUCGGAAGCCCUGCGUGCCUGUCCCCUCCCUCCCCAGCCAGCCUCAGUGUGAGUCCGCGUGCGUCUUUCCCACUGUAAGUGCAAGUGGCAGCAGACAUAGUAACACUCCCUGCCAUGGGGCUCCACAGCACUGCCUCACCUCAGCCUCUUGCCUUUUUCUCCUGAGGUCACUUUUAGAUCCAGCCCCAGGGGAACCCCCUGCUUUGGGUUGCAGCCGCCAUCUCUGCUGCAGUGUCUUCUGAUGAAAGCUGUCCCCUGUGGGCAUGAGUGUGGACAUGCUGCACCUCCUAAGGCAGCAGUGCCAAGGCUGAUGGUGCCCUCCACGGUGGUUUCAUGGCAUCGCUGCUGCACUAGAGGCUGCCCAGGGACACGGAGAGGCCGCAGCCACUGAAGCCAACUGUGCUGGAGCAGGCGGAGGGCACCAGGGGUCCCUGGAGAGAAGUGCCGCCUCCUGCCAGGCCCCUGACCUAUAGGUGAGGGUGUGAGCAGAAGAGGAGAAUCUAGGAGGCCUCCCGGGUAUUAGGGGAAAGCUGAGCACCUGGAAGAUGGCAGAGCCAAGAGGUGUCCAUGGCCCUGGAGAUGGGGUCAUGAGUAUAAAGAGGGCGCUUGGAGUGUGAGGCACCAGGGAUGGGAGGUGAGAGGCCCGAGGCCCCAGCCGGGGCUUCCAGGAAAGGAGGUGGGAGAGGGUCUUGGGGCCAAGAAGGCACAGGGCUUCCCGAAGCCAAGGUGUCCCAAAAAUAAGGGAGCGGUCGGCUGGGACAGAUUCAGAUGUGGUGGCUC